rnacentral:rRNA from 1 species
CCACAGUGUGGCAUCAGUGGGGAAUAUUGGACAAUGUGCGAAAGCCUGAUCCAGCCAUUCCGCGUGUGUGAAGAAGGCCUUCGGGUUGUAAAGCACUUUCAGUGGGGAAGAAAGCCUUGGGGCUAAUACCCUCGAGGAAGGACAUCACCCACAGAAGAAGCACCGGCUAACUCCGUGCCAGCAGCCGCGGUAAUACGGAGGGUGCGAGCGUUAAUCGGAAUUACUGGGCGUAAAGCGCGCGUAGGCGGUCUGAUAAGCCGGUUGUGAAAGCCCCGGGCUCAACCUGGGAACGGCAUCCGGAACUGUCAGGCUAGAGUGCAGGAGAGGAAGGUAGAAUUCCCGGUGUAGCGGUGAAAUGCGUAGAGAUCGGGAGGAAUACCAGUGGCGAAGGCGGCCUUCUGGACUGACACUGACGCUGAGGUGCGAAAGCGUGGGUAGCAAACAGGAUUAGAUACCCUGGUAGUC